rnacentral:rRNA from 1 species
GAUGAACGCUGGCGGCGUGCCUAAUACAUGCAAGUCGAGCGGACGGACGAUAAGCUUGCUUCUCUGAUGUUAGCGGCGGACGAGUGAGUAACACGUGGAUAACCUUCCUAUAAGACUUGGAUAACGUCGGGAAACCGGAGCUAAUACCGGGUAAUAUUUUGAACCGCAUGGUUCAAAAGUGAAAUACGUUCUUGAUGUCACCUAGAGAUGUAUCCGCGCUGCAUUAGCCAGUUGGUAAGGUAACGGCUUACCAGGGCAACGAUGCAUAGCCGACCUGAGAGGGUGAACGGCCCCGUAGAAACUGAGACAGCGUCGAGACUCCUACAGGCGGCAGCAAUAGCGAAGCUUGCGAAAAGGGCGAAAGCGUGCUGGAGGAGCGCAACGUGAGUGAUGAAGGUCUGCGGAUCGUAAAACUCCCUUAUGAGGGAAAAACCUAUGUGCAAGUAACUGUGCACAUCUUGACGGUACCUAAUCAGAAAGCCACGGCUAACUACGUG